ACGCCAGUAUGUGUGGAGCCGUCCUUGAAAUACCACCCUUGUAGUGUUGAUGUUCUAACGUUGACCCCUGAUCGGGGUUGCGGACAGUGCCUGGUGGGUAGUUUGACUGGGGCGGUCUCCUCCCAAAGAGUAACGGAGGAGCACGAAGGUGGGCUAAUCACGGUUGGACAUCGUGAGGUUAGUGCAAUGGCAUAAGCCCGCUUGACUGCGAGAAUGACAAUUCGAGCAGGUGCGAAAGCAGGUCAUAGUGAUCCGGUGGUUCUGAAUGGAAGGGCCAUCGCUCAACGGAUAAAAGGUACUCCGGGGAUAACAGGCUGAUACCGCCCAAGAGUUCAUAUCGACGGCGGUGUUUGGCACCUCGAUGUCGGCUCAUCACAUCCUGGGGCUGAAGUCGGUCCCAAGGGUAUGGCUGUUCGCCAUUUAAAGUGGUACGCGAGCUGGGUUUAGAACGUCGUGAGACAGUUCGGUCCCUAUCUGCCGUGGGCGUUGGAAGAUUGAAGGGGGCUGCUCCUAGUACGAGAGGACCGGAGUGGACGAACCUCUGGUGUUCGGGUUGUGUCGCCAGACGCAUUGCCCGGUAGCUAAGUUCGGAAUCGAUAACCGCUGAAAGCAUCUAAGCGGGAAGCGAGCCCUGAGAUGAGUCUUCCCUGAUACUUUAAGUAUCCUAAAGGGUUGUCGGAGACUACGACGUUGAUAGGUCAGGUGUGUAAGUGCUGUGAGGCAUUGAGCUAACUGAUACUAAUUGCCCGUGAGGCUUAACCAUACAACACCCAAGGGGUUU
rnacentral:rRNA from 1 species